UGGUUUAUAACAUUGGUAGUCACAUGAAAAUUUAUCCGAAAAUAAGGAGAUGUGUGAAGUCAAAGAAGAAGAACAAUACAAAGGAUACAUUGAGCUUAUAUAAGCAUUUGAAGGCAGGCUUUUUGGGGAACGCAGUAAUUUCAAAAUUUUCCUACGAUCAUGCAAGAUCUAUCUAGGUGAUGCAUAGCAACGAGCGGGAGAGUGUGUGCACGUACCCUCGUAGACCGAAAGAGGAAGCGUUUUAUCAACGCGGUUGAUGUAGUCGUACGUCUUCACGAUCCGACCGAUCUCAGCACCGAACGUACGGCACCUCCGUGUUCAGCACACGUUCAGCUCGAUGACAUACCUCGUACUCUUGAUCUAGUUGAGGCCGAGGGAGAGUUCCGUCAGCACGACGGCGUGGCAACGGUGAUGAUGAAGUUACCGGCGCAGGGUUUCGCCUAAGCACAUCAACGAUAUGACCGAGGUGUGUAACUGUGGAGGGGGCACCGCACACGGCUAAGACAAAUCUUGGAGUGCCUUUGGGGUGCCCCCUGCCCACGUAUAUAAAGGAGGGAGGAAGAGGAGGCCGGCACUAGAGGGGGCGCACCAAGGGGGGGAGUCCUACUUGGACUCCCAGUCCAAGUAGGAUUUGAUCCCCCCUUUCCUAUUCCAACUAGGAGAAGGAAGGGAAGGAGGAAGAGGGGAGAAGGAAGGAGGGGGGCGCCGGCCCCUCCUAGUCCAAUUCGGACCAGCCCAUGGGGGGCACGUGCUACCUCUUGAGCACUGCGUUGGUUUUCCUUUGAAGAGAAAAGGGUGAUGCAGUAAAGCAGCGUAAGUAUUUCCCUCAAUUUUUGAGAACCAAGGUAUCAAUCCAGUAGGAGGCCACGCAUGAGUCCCUCGCACCUACACAAGCAAAUAAAAUCCUCGCAACCAACGCAAUAAAGGGGUUGUCAAUCCCUUCACGGUCACUUACGAAAGUGAGAUCUGAUAGAUAUGAUAAGAUAAUGUUUUUGGUAUUUUUAUGAUAAAGAUGCAAAGUAAAAUAAAAGGCAAUAAAAAUAUCUAAGUGUUGAAAGAUUAAUAUGAUGGAAAAUAGACCCGGGGGCCAUAGGUUUCACUGGUGGCUUCUCUCGAGAGCAUAAGUAUUACGGUGGGUAAACAAAUUACUGUUGAGCAAUUGACAUAAUUGAGCAUAGUUAUGAGAAUAUCUAGGUAUGAUCAUGUAUAUAGGCAUCACGUCCGCGACAAGUAGACCGACUCCUGCCUGCAUCUACUACUAUUACUCCACACAUCGACCGCUAUCCAGCAUGCAUCUAGAGUAUUAAGUUCAAAAGAACAGAGUAACGCUUUAAGUAAGAUGACAUGAUGUAGAGGGAUAAACUCAUGCAAUAUGAUAUAAACCCCAUCUUGUUAUCCUCGAUGGCAACAAUACAAUACGUGCCUUGCUGCCCCUACUGUCACUGGGAAAGGACACCGCAAGAUUGAACCCAAAGCUAAGCACUUCUCCUAUUGCAAGAAAGAUCAAUCUAGUAGGCCAAACCAAACUGAUAAUUCAAAGAGACUUGCAAAGAUAACCAAUCAUACAUAAAAGAAUUCAGAGAAGAUUCAAAUAUUGUUCAUAGAUAAACUUGAUCAUAAACCCACAAUUCAUCGGUCUCAACAAACACACCACAAAAGAAGAUUACAUCAAAUAGAUCUCCACGAGAAUCGUGGAGAACUUUGUAUUGAGAUCCAAAGAGAGAGAAGAAGCCAUCUAGCUAAUAACUAUGGACCCGAAGGUCUGAGGUAAACUACUCACACAUCAUCGGAGAGGCUAUGGUGUUGAUGUAGAAGCCCUCCGUGAUCAAUGCCCCCUCCGGCGGAGCUCCGAAAAAGGCCCCAAGAUGGGAUCUCACGGGUAGAGAAGGUUGCGGCGGUGGAAUUAGGUUUUUGGCUCCGUGUCUGGUAGUUUGGGGGUACGUAGGUAUAUAUAGGAGGAAGAAGUACGUCGGUGGAGCAACAUGGGCCCCACGAGGGUGGAGGGCGCGCCCAGGGGGUAGGCGCGCCCCCUACCUCGUGCCCUCCUGGUUGCUUUCUUGACGUAGGGUCCAAGUCCUCCGGAUCACGUUCGUUCCAAAAAUCACGUUCCCAAAGGUUUCAUUCCGUUUGGACUCCGUUUGAUAUUCUUUUUCUACGGAACUCUGAAAUAGGCAAAAAACAGCAAUUCUGGGCUGGGCUUCCGGUUAAUAGGUUAGUCCCAAAAAUAAUAUAAAAGUGUAUAAUAAAUCCCAUUAAUGUCCAAAACAGAAUAUAAUAUAGCAUGGAACAAUCAAAAAUUAUAGAUACGUCGGAGACGCAUCAAGCAUCCCCAAGCUUAAUUCCUGCUCGUCCUCGAGUAGGUAAAUGAUAAAAACAGAAUUUUUGAUGUGGAAUGCUACUUGCCAUAAUUUCAAUGUAAUUCUCUUAAUUGUGGUAUGAAUAUUCAUAUCCGAAAGAUUCAAGACAAAAGUUGAAUAUUGACACAAAAAUAAUAAUACUUCAAGCAUACUAACUAAGCAAUUAUGUCUUCUCAAAAUAACAUGGCCAAAGAAAGUUAUCCCUACAAAAUAUAGUCUGGCUAUGCUCUAUCUUCACCACACAAAGUAUUUAAAUCAUGCACAACCCCGAUGACAAGCCAAGCAAUUGUUUCAUACUUUUGAUGUUCUCAAACUUUUUCAAUCUUCACGCAAUACAUGAGCGUGAGCCAUGGACAUAGCACUAUAUGUGGAAUAGAAUGGUGGUUGUGGAAAAGAUAAAAAAAGGAGAAGAUAGUCUCACAUCAACUAGGCGUAUCAACGGGCUAUGGAGAUGCCCAUUAAUAGAUAUCAAUGUGAGUGAGUAGGGAUUGCCAUGCAACGGAUGCACUAGAGCUAUAAGUAUAUGAAAGCUCAACAAAAGAAACUAAGUGGGUGUGCAUCCAACUCGCUUGCUCACGAAGACCUAGGGCACUUUGAGGAAGCCCAUCAUUGGAAUAUACAAGCCAAGUUCUAUAAUGAAAAAUUUCCCACUAGUAUAUGAAAGUGAUAUCAUAGGAGACUCUCUAUCAUGAAAAUCAUGGUGCUACUUUGAAGCACAAGUGUGGUAAAAGGAUAGUAACAUUGUCCCUUCUCUCUUUUUCUCUCAUUUUUUUAUUUGGGCCUUUUCUCUUUUUUAUGGCCUCUUUUUUUUAGUCCGGAGUCUCAUCCUGACUUGUGGGGGAAUCAUAGUCUCCAUCAUCCUUUCCUCACUUGGGACAAUGCUCUAAAAAUGAUGAUCAUCACACUUUUAUUUACUUACAACUCAACAAUUACAACUCAAUACUUAGAACAAAAUAUGACUCUAUGUGAAUGCCUCCGGCGGUGUACCGGGAUAUGCAAUGAAUCAAGAGUGACAUGUAUGAAAGAAUUAUGAACGGUGGCUUUGCCACAAAUACAAUGUCAACUACAUGAUCAUGCAAAGCAAUAUGACAAUGAUGGAGCGUGUCAUAAUAAACGGAACGGUGGUAAGUUGCAUGGCAAUAUAUCUCGGAAUGGCUAUGGAAAUGCCAUGAUAGGUAGGUAUGGUGGCUGUUUUGAGGAAAGUAUAUGGUGGGUGUAUGAUACUGGUGAAAAGUGCGCGGUAUUAGAGAGGCUAGCAAUGGUGGAAGAAAGAAAGUGCGUAUAAUCCAUGGACUCAACAUUAGUCAUAAAGAACUCAUAUACUUAUUGCAAAAAUCUACAAGUUAUCGAAGCAAAGUAUUACGCGCAUGCUCCUAUGGGGGAUAGAUUGGUAGGAAAAGAACAUCGCUCGUCCCCGACCGCCACUCAUAAGGAAGACAAACAAUAAAUAAAUCAUGCUCCGGCUUCAUCACAUAACGGUUCACCAUGCGUGCAUGCUACGGGAAUCACAAACUUUAACACAAGUAUUUCUCAAAUUCAAAACUACUCAACUAGCAUGACUCUAAUAUCACCAUCUUCAUAUCUCAAAACAAUUAUCUAGUAUCAAACUUCUCAUAGUAUUCAACACACUCAUAAGGUUUUUUUUACUAAUCUUGAAUGCCUAUCAUAAUUAAAGCAAAUUACCACGCUGUUUUGUAGGACUCUCAAAAUAAUCUAAGUGAAGCAUGAGAGAACAAUAGUUUCUAUAAAACAAAUCCACCACCGUGCUCUAAAAUAUAUAAGUGAAGCACUAGAGAAAAAAUUAUAUAACUCAAAAGAUAUAAGUGAAGCACAUAGAGUAUUCUAACAAUUUUCGAAUCAUGUGUGUCUCUCUCAAAAGGUGUGUACAGCAAGGAUGAUUGUGGCAAACUAACAAAUAAUACUCAAAUAAUACAAGACGCUCCAAGCAAAACACAUAUCAUGUGGUGAAUAAAAAUAUAGUUCCAAGUAAAGUUACCGAUGGAAGUAGACGAAAGAGGGGAUGCCUUCCGGGGCAUCCCCAAGCUUUGGCUUUUAGGUGUCCUUAGAUUAUCUUGGGGUGCCAUCGGCAUCCCCAAGCUUAGGCUCUUGCCACUCCUUGUUCCAUAAUCCAUCAAAUCUUUUACCCAAAACUUGAAAACUUCACAACACAAAACUUAACAGAAAAUCUCGUGAGCUCCGUUAGCGAAAGAAAAGAAAACACCACUUCAAGGUACUGUAAUGAACUCAUUCUUUAUUUAUAUUGGUGUUAAACCUACUGUAUUCUAACUUCUCUAUGGUUUAUAAAAUAUUUUACUAGCCAUAGAUUCAUCAAAAUAAGCAAACAACACACGAAAAACAGAAUCUGUCAAAAACAGAACAGUCUGUAGUAAUCUGUAACUAACGCAAACUUUGGAACUCCAAAAAUUCAGGAAAAAUAGGAAGACAUAGACAAUUUGUUUAUUGAUCAGCAGCAAUUGGAAUCAAUAUUUUAUCACGUUAUGGUGAUUUUUAACAAUUAUUUUCGUGAACAGAAAGUUUCUGGAAUUUUCAGCAAGAUCAAAUAACUAUCAUCGAAGAAGAUCCUAUAGGUUAAACUUGGCACAAACACUAAUUAAAACAUAAAAACACAUCUAACCAGAGGCUAGAUCAAAUAUUUAUUCCUAAACAGAAGAAAAAAGAAAAAAAACUAAAAAUAAAAUUGGGUUGCCUCCCAACAAGCGCUAUCGUUUAACGCCCCUAGCUAGGCAUAAUAGCAGGGAUAGAUCUAGGUAUUGCCAUCUUUGGUUUUAAGGAAGAAAAGAGCAAACUUGUUAUCUAUAGAAUUAAUAUUUAUAUUUUGAUAAAGCACAUGGCUAUAUUUAUGGUAGAAGAAAGAUGAAGGACGUUGCGGAAAUUUGCAUCUAGGCUAGCUUUUAUCUCUCUAAUAGAUUCGUUUUGGUAGGAAAGCAAAAGAGAUGUAGAUUCAACUUUCUCAUUCAUGGGGUGCCCGAAUAUGGUUUUCAUCUUUUCAUAAGUAUCUACAGCAUCCCCUUCAAGAAAGCCUUCUUCAAAUAUAGAAUCUAAGACAUGCUUAAAUGAAGAAGGUAGGGCAACAUAAAAGCUUUUUAAGUAAAUUUCAAUUUGGUAUCGGGGUACAUAGUUAGCCCCGGAUCCUUAACAGUCUAUCCCAAGCAUCUUUCAAAGAUUCAUCGAGUAAAUAACGAAAAAUUCCGGAAUCAUCUUCAUCAAAAUUAUUAGGACUCUCAUUGACAACUCCGGCAGGUUUUUCCAUAGCAUUAUUUAUGAGUUUAGAUAGAAUAGAAGGAUCGUCCAGAGCACUAAAGCUCGGGAGAGAACCCCCAACUCUUUUUGGUUCCGACAUGGCAAAGGAAAGGCGAGCGGAAAAGAGAGGGCGAAUAAAAUGGCAAGGGUGAAGUGGGGGAGAGGAAAACGAGAGGCAAAUGGCAAAUAAUGUAAUACGGGAGAUAAGGGUUUGUGAUGGGUACUUGGUAUGUUGACUUUUGCGUAGACUCCCCGGCAACGGCGCCAGAAAUCCUUCUUGCUACCUCUUGAGCACUGCGUUGGUUUUCCCUUGAAGAGGAAAGGGUGAUGCAGUAAAGCAGCGUAAGUAUUUCCCUCAGUUUUCGAGAACCAAGGUAUCAAUCCAGUAGGAGGCCACGCACGAGUCCCUCGCACCUACACAAACAAAUAAAAUCCUCGCAACCAACACAAUAAAGGGGUUGUCAAUCCCUUCACGGUCACUUACGAAAGUGAGAUCUGAUAGAUAUGAUAAGAUAAUAUUUUUGGUAUUUUUUUGAUAAAGAUGCAAAGUAAAAUAAAAGGCGAUAAAAAUAGCUAAGUGUUGGAAGAUUAAUAUGAUGGAAAAUAGACCCGGGGGCCAUAGGUUUCACUAGUGGCUUCUCUCGAGAGCAUAAGUAUUACGGUGGGUAAACAAAUUACCGUUGAGCAAUUGACAUAAUUGAGCAUAGUUAUGAGAAUAUCUAGGUAUGAUCAUGUAUAUAGGCAUCACGUCUGCGACAAGUAGACUGACUCCUGCCUGCAUCUACUACUAUUACUCCACACAUCGACCGCUAUCCAGCAUGCAUCUAGAGUAUUAAGUUCAAAAGAACAGAGUAACGCUUUAAGUAAGAUGACAUGAUGUAGAGGGAUAAACUCAUGCAAUAUGACAUAAACCCCAUCUUGUUAUCCUCGAUGGCAACAAUACAAUACGUGCCUUGUUGCCCCUACUGUCACCGGGAAAGGACACCGCAAGAUUGAACCCAAAUCUAAGCACUUCUCCCAUUGCAAGAAAGAUCAAUCUAGUAGGCCAAACCAAACUGAUAAUUCGAAGAGACUUGCAAAGAUAACCAAUCAUACACAAAAGAAUUCAAAGAAGAUUCAAAGAUUGUUCAUAGAUAAACUUGUUCAUAAACCCACAAUUCAUCGGUCUCAACAAACACACUGCAAAAGAAGAUUACAUCGAAUAGAUCUCCACGAGAAUCGUGGAGAACUUUGUAUUGAGACCCAAAGAGAGAGAGAAGAAGCCAUCUAGCUAAUAACUAUGGACCCGAAGGUCUGAGGUAAACUACUCACACAUCAUCGGAGAGGCUAUGGUGUUGAUGUAGAAGCCCUCCGUGAUCAAUGCCCCCUCCGACAGAGCUCCGGAAAAGGCCCCAAGAUGGGAUCUCACGGGUACAGAAGGUUGCGGCGGUGGAAUUAGGUUUUUCGCUCCGUAUCUGGUAGUUUGGGGGUACGUAGGUAUAUAUAGGAGGAAGAAGUACAUCGGUGGAGCAACGUGGGCCCCACGAGGGUGGAGGGUGCGCCCAGGGGGGGUAGGCGCGCCCCCCUACCUCGUGCCCUCCUGGUUGCUUUCUUGACGUAGGGUCCCAGUCCUCUAGAUCACGUUCGUUCCAAAAAUCACGUUCCCGAAGGUUUCAUUCCGUUUGGACUCCGUUUGAUAUUCUUUUUCUGCGAAACUCUGAAAUAGGCAAAAAAACAGCAAUUCUGGGCUGGGCCUCCGGUUAAUAGGUUAGUCCCAAAAAUAAUAUAAAAGUGUAUAAUAAAGCCCAUUAAUCUCCAAAACAGAAUAUAAUAUAGCACGGAACAAUCAAAAAUUAUAGAUACGUUGGAGACGUAUCAGCGCGCGGCCACCCCUUGAGGCCCUUCUCUCCUUUCCCGUAUGGCCCAUUAAGGCCCACUACUUCCCCCGGCGAAUUCUCGUAACUCUCCGGUACGACGAAAAAUACCCGAAUCACUCAGAACCUUUCCGAUGUCCGAAUAUAGCCUUCCAAUAUAUCGAUCUUUACCUCUCGACCAUUUCGAGACUCGUCGUCAUGUCCGUGAUCUCAUCGGGGACUCCGAACAAACUUCGGUCAUCAAAUCACAUAACUCAUAAUACAAAUCGUCAUCGAACGUUAAGCGUGCAGACCCUAAGGGUUCGAGAACUAUGUAGACAUGACCGAGACACAUCUCCGGUCAAUAACCAAUAGCGGAACCUGGAUGCUCAUAUUGGCUCCUACAUAUUCUACAAAGAUCUUUAUCGGUCAAACCGCAUAACAACAUACGUUGUUCCAUUUGUCAUCGGUAUGUUACUUGCCCGAGAUUCGAUCAUCGGUAUCACCAUACCUAGUUCAAUACCAUUACCGGCAAGUCUCUUUACUCUUUUCGUAAUGCAUCAUCCCGCAACUACCCCAUUAGUCAUAUUGCUUGCAAGGCUUAUAGUGAUGUGCAUUACCGAGAGGGCCCAGAGAUACCUCUCCGAAACACGGAGUGACAAAUCCUAAUCUCGAUCUAUGCCAACCCAACAAAUAUCUUCGGAGACACCUAUAGAGCAUCUUUAUAAUCACCCAUUUAGGUUGUGAAGUUUGAUAGCACACAAAGUGUUCCUCCGAUAUUCGGGAGUUGCAUAAUCUCAUAGUCUGAGGAACAUGUAUAAGUCAUGAAGAAAGCAGUAGCAAUGAAACUGUAACGAUCAUAAUGCUAAGCUAACGAAUGGGUCUUGUCCAUCACAUCAUUCUCCUAAUGAUGUGAUCCCGUUCAUCAAAUGACAACACAUGUCUAUGGUUAGGAAACAUAACCAUCUUUGAUAAAUGAGCUAGUCGAGUAGAGGCAUACUAGGGACACUUUGUUUUGUCUAUGUAUUCACACAUGCACUAAGUUUCCGGUUAAUACAAUUCUAGCAUGAAUAAUAAACAUUUAUCAUGAUAUAAGGGAAUAAAUGAUAACUUUAUUAUUGCCUCUAGGGCAUAUUUCCUUCAGUCUCCCUCUUGCACUAGAGUCAAUAAUCUAGUUCACAUCACCAUGUGAUUUAACACCAAUAGUUCACAUCACCAUGUGAUUAACACCCAUAGUUCACAUCGUCAUGUGACCAACAACCAAAGGGUUUACUAGAGUCAAUAAUCUAGUUCACAUCGCUAUGUGAUUAACACCCAAUAAGUACUAAGGUGUGAUCAUGUUUUGCUUGUGAGAGAAGUUUAGUCUACGGGUCUGCAACAUUCAGAUCCGUAUGUAUUUUGCAAAUUUCUAUGUCUACAAUACUAUGCACGGUGCUACUCUAGCUAAUUGCUCCCACUUUCAAUAUGUAUCUAGAUCGAGACUUAGAGUCAUCCAGAUCGGUGUCAAAGCUUGCAUCGACGCAACUCUUUAUGACGAACUCUUUGUCACCUCCAUAACCGAGAAACAUAUCCUUAUUCUACUCAGGAUAAUUUUGACCGUUGUCUAGUGAUCCACUCCUGGAUCACUAUUGUACCCUCUUGCCAAACUCAUGGUGAGGUACACAAUAGGCCUGGUACACAGCAUAGCUAUAGAACCUAUGACUGAGGCAUAGGGAAUGAAUUUUCAUUCUCUCUCUAUCUUUUGCCGUGGUCGAGCUUUGAGUCUUACACAACUUCACACCUUGCAACACAGGCAAGAACUCCUUCUUUGACUGUUCCAUUUUGAACUACUUCAAAAACUUGUCAAGGUAUGUACUCAUUGAAAGAACUUAUCAAGCGUCUUGAUCUAUCUCUAUAGAUUUUGAUGCUCAAUAUGUAAGCAGCUUCACCGAGGCCUUUCUUUGAAAAACUCCUUUCAAACACUCCUUUAUGCUUUCCAGAAAAUUCUACAUCAUUUCCGAUCAACAAUAUGUCAUUCACAUAUACUUAUCAGAAAGGCUGUAGUGCUCCCACUCACUUUCUUGUAAAUAAUGGCUUCACCGCAAGUCUGUAUAAAACUAUAUGCUUUGAUCAACUCGUCAAAGCGUAUAUUCCAACUCCGAGAUGCUUGCACCAAUCCAUAGAUGGAUCGCUUGAGCUUUGCACACUUUUUAGCACCUUUAGGAUUGACAAAACCUUCUAGUUGCAUCAUAUACAACUCUUCCUUAAGAAAUCCAUUAAGGAAUGUAGUUUUGAUAUCCAUUUGCCAGAUUUCAUAAAAUGCAACAAUUGCUAACAUGAUUCGGACAGACUUAAGCAUCGCUACGAGUGACAAAAUCUCAUCGUAGUCAACACCUUGAACUUGUCAAAAACCUUUUUUGACAUCUAGCUUUGUAGAUAGUAACACUACUAUCAGCGUCCGUCUUCCUCUUGAAGAUCCAUUUAUUUUCUAUUGCUUGCCGAUCAUCGGGCAAGUCAACCAAAGUCCAUACUUUGUUCUCAUACAUGGAUCCCAUCUCAGAUUUCAUGGCCUCAAGCCAUUUCGCGAAAUCUGGGCUCAUCAUCUCUUCCUCAUAGUUCGUAGGUUCGUCAUGGUCAAGUAACAUGACCUCCAGAACAGGAUUACCGUACCACUCUAGUGUAGAUCUUACUCUGGUUGACCUACGAGGUUCAGUAGUAACUUGAUCUGAAGUUUCAUGAUCAUCAUCAUUAGCUUCCUCACUAAUUGGUGUAGGAAUCACAUGAACUGAUUUCUGUAAAGAACUACCACUACUAGGGAAAACCCUAGUAGUAGCGCGGGUUUAAUGCCCACUAGUAGCGCGGGCUGCCGCGCUACUAAGGCGCUACAGCUAUUACUUAGCAGUAGUGCGUGCGACAAGCGCUACUGCUAAGACACAUAGCGGCAACGCUUGUUCUAUCCCGCGCUGCUGCUAAUCUAGCUAGUUGCAGCGUGUUUACUAUCCAUCGCUACUUGUAUUCUUUUUUUCAUUUUUAGUGUAUUUAUACGCCGUUAUACAAAUUUUGGUACAAUACCAAGUAUGAGGUUUAUAUCAUUAUGUCCAUAACAGUGUGUCAAAUGAAGGUGGAUUAGGUUCAAGUGGAGGCAAUAUGUGGUGCAUGUCAAAAGUAUACUACUAAUCCAAACUUGAUCUAGUUUGGACUAGUAGUACUUUCGAUGUGCACCACAUGUUGCCUCCACUUGAAUCUAAUCCGCCAGCACAAGCUAUUUAAUCAUCAUCAUCGUCAUUACCACCAACAGUAUUUAUUUAAUCACCAUAGUCAUAGUGUAGCACAUCAUCAUCUUCAAACUCAUUCUAGCUAGCUAAUCACCACCAACACUAGAUGUGGUAGCUAUCUAAUCACCACCAACACUAGCUAAUAAUAAUCAUCAUAGUCAUUACCACCAACACUAGCUAUUUAAUCAUCAUAGUCAUAGUGUAGCACAUCAUCAUCUUCCAACUCAUUUCUAGCUAGCUAAUCACUCCUGCUGCUCUCUCUCUCUCAGGUAAAAUAACAUAAAACAUGUGUAGCUCUCCUCCUUCAUCAAGUUGGAGCAUGCAGAUGAACCUGUCUCCUAAUCGUGGGAUGCGCUUCUGAUUGCUGCCCCCUAGUACUUCUAUGCACUCCUCCAUCACAAAUUUGGUCCAGUCUUUCACUAUUAAGCAUUCGUCGCUUUUAGAAAUCCUGAAUGCACUAAAGUGCAUUGUAGGAUAUCUUGGCCGUAAGCUAACAAUACUCAUGGUACCUUGAGUCUCGAUCCCAUGAGGCACAACAUUCAUCGGGAGUCCCUGUUGAAGAACAUCGUAUAGUAACAUACUUAGCAAUGAAGUUUAGCUUAAAAAAUAAUGUAUGCAAAAGAUGCACUGAGGACAAAUAGUAAAAAUCUUACCAUCUUUCCUAAAUAGAUGUGACCGUAGUUCAUUACGAACACUAUUGGUCACACGUUUUCAGUACUAACAUUUCUAAGUGCAGGAAGAAAAUUUGUCUUGACAGUAUCAAGAUCCUCAAGCCAUGAAACAUAAUGACUUAGCUCCUCGCAGUUUCGUUCAGCCCUGGGAUAGUAGUAGGUCUGUAUACCAAGCGCUGGACAUGUUUGCUUGAACGGAAAUAAGCUGACAAUAGAAAUUAGUUGUCAACUAUUCUUGAAUAAACAAUAUCAAAGACAUAAAUAUGGUUGAGAAACUCACAUAAUGGUAUAACUAGAGGCGUCUGCACAUCGACCCAGAUGUCGGUAUUACCUUCAAUAUCAUCUUCCGGACGAAUAUCAAAGGUGAUAACCAUAUCAGGCUCAAAUGCAUAAGUCUUGCAUAGUGCUCGCCAAGUUUUGCGUCCAAAAUAGGUUUAGUCGUCUGCGUUGUAUAAUUUGGCGUGGAAAAUAUAACCAUGCUCAGUCUUCAAGUAAACUUUCUUUACCUCCAUAGUACGAUUGAAACCUAUCUUAUCCAAGACAAAAACUCUUGCAUGGCAGGGGAUACGCUAGUAGAAUAGUAAAAAAAAUUAAAUUAUAAGUUGAAGCAAAUGAAGCAGAUGUCAUGCUUAAUUACGAAAAAAGACUUGUCGUUGUGACUUACUGUAUCCACUUCGAAGUUCACGUCCAGCUUGAUGCUAAAGCGCCUAUCAUCAUCUAGGAAGAUUCCGUCGCACAAGCCGCGCUCGUCUUCGCAGUAUUUGCAAAUACCGAAAUCCUUUUCGUUGUCAGACAUUUCCUAUGUUCAUAGUUGAAACAUUAAUUGAAAAUCGAUCGAAGACAACUAGCAGGAUACUCAAAAUAUCUUAUAGGACUCAUAUUGACAUGAGCAUUCAAUAAGCAAAACCAAAUCGUAAAAUAAAUAAGUAUUCAAAUUAGCAUGCAUUCAAUAAGCAAAAGUACAUCAUCUCAUGCAUCCGUACAUCAUCGAAUAUUAUCACUAAUACAUCCCGAAUAGUAUCAUACAUAUAACAUCACUAAUACAACUAAAACCCUAGCGCACGACGGGUAUCGGCGCGGGCGGUGGACACCCAAAGAGAAGGAACCAUCACAGGAUCAUAGCUCCAGUGAGAUCCCUGGAGAACCUGCCAGGUAUUGGAGAACCUGUGCUCCAACGCAAACAAGUAGCGACGGACGUGCGCGUCCUGCUCACUGACACGAUGACGCACCACCUCUGCGGGGUCCUCGAGCUUGUGGACCGUCACUGGCCCACGCGACCGCCACCAAAGAAGGUUCGGGUCAACGACAGGCUGGCUCCUCACCAACCUGCACCCCCUGGUAGGUAGCGCCUCCUAGUCCCACCCCGGCGGAGCCCAGUCCCGGACAAGGCCCAUCUGGUGACGCAGGUGUCCUCCGCCGACUCGACAACGAGGAUGCGGGAUAGGCAUCGUCGACGUCGAUGCGCGAAAAAUUGCUUUAACUAAAAAAAUAACAACAAAUGUGACAUGUUCAACUAGUUCUAUUAAUUCAACUAGUUCUUAUGAUUAAAUCUAGUCAAUUAAUUCUAUACCUAAUAAAAUGAAUAAUGACAUAAAAAAGGCCUAUGCUUUGCAGGAAUGUUGACUCCUUCCCAGGGCGGCAAAUACCGGGCACUCGAUAUGUCCUAGUUUGUAGCACAAGUCAUGCCGAAAUUCACAGAAACUUUCGGCAUGACUUUUACUAAAAAGUGGACAAAUCGAGAACAGAAAUUUGCCGGAACGGAAAUGAAUCAACAUUCCGGCAAAACAUAGGCCACUCGACUUCAUUCCCUGGAAACAACAAAGCCACUUGGGCACAAUCGAACCACUUCAAUAAUGGAAUAUGCAAAUGAACAUCAAUGACAUAUAUCAUAUAACAACAAUCUUGUUUUUUGUUUACAUAGCAACAAUUAGUUUAACCAAGUUUUUGAAAGAAAAACAAUUCUGUUUUUUGUUUUUUGAAUGAAAUUACUAUUUAGGCAUUUUCAUAAAAAUUUGCCCUAGCUAAUUUCCUAAAAAAAUUGCUAAUCAUUUUUCCUAAAUGCUAAAAAAUGCCUACUGCCCUAAACAAAUCUAGGGUUCAUAUGAACAUCAACACAGCAUCAACACAUAUAUGAAUUGCCCUAGCAGAGAGAGAGGAGGGUAGGGGAGAGGAGAGGCAGAGCCUUACGGUGGCUGCGGCGAGGGAGGGGCAUGCGGUGUCGAGGACGGGGUCGAGGCUCGGGCACGCGGCGGAGGGCGGAGUCGAUGUCGGGGUCGGGGCGGCGUCGAGGUCGGGGUCGGGGGCGGCCUCAAGGGUGUGCCGCGGGCGGCGGCGGCGGUGAGGUUGAGGGCAGCGGCGGGCGGCGGCGGUGAGGUCGAGAGCAGCAGGGCGACGGUGGCGAUGGAGCAGUUGAGGGAGAGGGGGAAGUGGAGGGGAAGGACUUAGCGAAAUUUUGAGCCCGCGCGGCCGGGGGUUAAGUCAAACUAGCAGCAGCGCGUUUUUUCCGGAAUGCGCUAUAGCUAAGUUAGCUAUAGCGUGUCAAGCGAAACGCACUACAGCUAUUCCUUUCUGUUUUAUAAUAUCAGUAGCGCUUUGCCAUGAAAAAACGCUAUUGCUAAGUCUAAGCAUGUAAAAACUUCAAAAAUAUACAUUGGUUAUCAUUGAUCUUUUUGUGUAGAAUCUAAAUAGUCAACAUGAAUCCUCACAGUACCUGUAUAGGCACUAGUGAAGAUUCAUAUUGUAGCCACAAAUCCUACACAUAUAGUUCAAUGAAGACCAAGUGCUCGAGAUAGUUUGAGAAGUAACAUAUUUAAGGUGGUAAACACCUUGUUCGCUUAGCAGUAUGGGACUAAACUUAAUUAGGUGCAAUACUUAGCAGUAGCGUGUUUUGAAGAAAAACGUUGCUACUAAAUACUUUAGCAGUAGCACGUCCUAUGAAGGGCGCUACUACUAUAUCUAGCCUGGGGGCAACGCCGUGGCAAUUAUAGUAGUAGCGCUUGUUUCACCUACACCGCUGCUGCUACCGUGCUAUUAGUAGCGCGGUUUUACGGAGCUCGCUACUGCUAAUUAGCAGUAGCGUCUCUUUUUAAACCGCGCUGCUGCUAAGAUUUUGUGUAUAAGGUUUUCCCUAGUAGUGUACUUUCCAAUUCGGGAGCAGGUACAAUUACCUCAUCAAGUUCUACUUUCCUCCCACUCACUUCUUUCGAGAGAAACUCCUUCUCUGGAAAGGAUCCAUUCUUAGCAACAAAUAUCUUGCCUUCGGAUCUGUGAUAGAAGGUGUACCCAACAGUUUCCUUUGGGUAUCCUAUGAAGACAUAUUUCUCCGAUUUGGGUUCGAGCUUAUCAGGUUGAAACUUUUUCACAUAAGCAUCGCAACCCCAAACUUUAAGAAACGACAGCUUAGGUUCUUUGCCAAACCAUAGUUCAUACGGUGUCAUCUCAACGGAUUAGACGGUGCCCUAUUUAACGUGAAUGUAGCUGUUUCUAAUGCAUAACCCCAAAACGAUAGUGGUAAUCAGUAAGAGACAUCAUAGAUUGCACUAUAUCCAAUAAAGUACGGUUAUGACGUUCGGACACACCAUUAUGUUGUGGUGUUCCAGGUGGCAUGAGUUUGUGAAACUAUUCCACAUUGUUUUAAUUGAAGACCAAACUCGUAACUCAAAUAUUCGUCUCUGCGAUCAGAUCGUAGAAACUUUAUUUUCUUGUUAUGAUGAUUUUCCACUUCACUCUGAAAUUCUUUGAACUUUUCAAAUGUUUCAGACUUAUGUUUCAUCAAGUAGAUAUACCCAUAUCUUCUCAAAUCAUCUGUGAAUGUCAGAAAAUAAUGAUACCCAUCACGAGCCUCAACACUCAUCGGACCGCAUACAUCAGUAUGUAUUAUUUCCAAUAAGUCAGUUGCUCACUCCAUUGUUCCGGAGAACGGAGUCUUAGUCAUCUUGCCCAUGAGGCAUGGUUCGCAAGCAUCAAGUGAUUCAUAAUCAAGUGAUUCCAAAAGCCCAUCAGCAUGGAGUUUCUUCAUGCGCUUUACACCAAUAUGACCUAAACGGCAGUGCCACAAAUAAGUUGCACUAUCAUUAUUAACUUUGCAUCUUUUGGCUUCAAUAUUAUGAAUAUGUGUAUCACCACGAUCGAGAUUCAAUAAACCAUUUAUAUUGAGUGUAUGACCAUAGAAGGUUUUAUUCAUGUAAAUAGAACAACAAUUAUUCUUUGACUUAAAUGAAUAGCCGUAUUGCAAUAAACAUGAUCCAAUCAUAUUCAUGCUCAACACAAACACCAAAUAACAUUUAUUUUAGGUUCAACACUAAUCCCGAAGGUAAAGGGAGUGUGCGAUGCAGAUCUUAUCAACCUUGGAAUCACUUCCAACACACAUCAUCACCUCGCUCUUAACUAGUCUUUGUUUAUUUUGCAACUCCUGUUUCAAGUUACUACUCUUAGAAACUGAACCAGUAUCAAAUACCGAGGGGUUGCUAUAAAUACUAGUAAAGUACACAUCAAUAACAUGUAUAUCCAAUAUACCUUUGUUCACUUUACCAUCCUUCUUAUCCGCCAAGUAUCUAGGGCAGUUCCACUUCCAGUGACCAUUUCCUUUGCAGUAGAAGCACUCAGUUUCAGGCUUUGGUCUAGCUUUGGGCUUCUUCAUGGGAGUGACAACUUGCUUGUCAUUCUUAUUGAAGUUCCCUUUCUAUCCAUUUGCCCUUUUCUUGAAACUAGUGGUCUUGUUAACAAUCAACACUUGAUGCUCUUUCUUGAUUUCUACCUUCACCGAUUUCGGCAUCGCGAAGAGCUCGGGAAUUACUUUCAUCAUCCCUUACAUAUUAUAGUUCAUCAUGAAGUUCUAGUAACUUGGUGAUAGUGACUAGAGAACUUUGUCAAUUACUAUCUUAUCUGGAAGAUUAACUCCCACUUGAUUCAAGCAAUUGUAGUACCCAGACAAUCUGAGCACAUGCUCAUUGGUUGAGCUAGUCUCCUCCAUCUUGUAGGAAAAGUACUGUCAGAGGUCUCAUACCUCUCGACACGGGCAUGAGUAUGAAAUACCAAUUUCAACUCUUGGAACAUCUUAUAUGCUCCGUGGCGUUCAAAACAUUUUUGAAGUCCCGGUUCUAAGACGUAAAGCAUGGUGCACUAAACUAUCAAGUAGUCAUCAUAUCGAGCUUGCCAAACGUUCAUAACGUCUGCGUCUGCUCCUGCAAUAGUUCUGUCACCUAGCGGUGCAUCAAGGACAUAAUUCUUAUGUGCAGCAAUGAGGAAAAUCCUCAGAUCACGGACCAAGUCCGCAGCAUUGCUACUAUCAUCUUUCAACUUAUUUUUCUCUAGGAACAUAUCAAAAAUAAACGGGGAGCUACAUCACGAGCUAUUGAUCUACAACACAGUUAUGCAAAAUACUAUCAGGUACUAAGUUCAUGAUAAAUUAAAGUUCAAUUAAUCAUAUUACUUAAGAACUCCCACUUAGAUAGACAUCCCUCUAAUCAUCUAAGUGAUCACGUGAUCCAUAUCAACUAAACCAUGUUCGAUCAUCACGUGAGAUGGAGUAUUUUUCAAUGGUGAACAUCACUAUGUUGAUCAUAUCUACUAUAUGAUUCACGCUCGACCUUUCGGUCUCAGUGUUCCGAGGCCAUAUCUGCAUAUGCUAGGCUCGUCAAGUUUAACCCGAGUAUUCUGCGUGUGCAAAACUGGCUUGCACCCGUUGUAUGUGAACGUAGAGCUUAUCACACCCGAUCAUCACGUGGUGUCUCGGCACGACGAACUGUCGCAACGGUGCAUACUCAGGGAGAACACUUGUACCUUGAAAUUUAGUGAGAGAUCAUCUUAUAAUGCUACCGCCGUACUAAGCAAAAUAAGAUGCAUAAAAAGAUAAACAUCACAUGCAAUCAAAUAAGUGAUAUGAUAUGGUCAUCAUCAUCUUGAGCCUUUGAUCUCCAUCUCCAAAGCACCAUUAUGAUCACCAUCAUCACCGGCUUGACACCUUGAUCUCCAUCGAAGCAUCUUUGUCGUCUCACCAACUAUUGCUGCUAAGACUAUCGCUACCGCUUAGUGAUAAAGUAAAGCAAUUACAUGGCGAUUGCAUUUCAUACAAUAAAGCGACAACCAUAUGGCUCCUGCCAGUUGCUGAUAACUGUUACAAAACAUGAUCAUCUCAUACAACAAUUUAUAUAUCAUCACGUCUUGACCAUAUCAUAUCACAGCAAGCCCUACAAAAACAAGUUAGACGUCCUCUACUUUGUUGCAAGUUUUACGUGUCUGCUACGGGCUUAGCAAGAACCGUUCUUACCUACGCAUCAAAAGCACAACGAUUUUUUGUCAAGUAUGCUGUUUUAACCUUCAACAAGGACCGGGCGUAGUCACACGAGAAACAGACACCCACUAGCCACCUGUGUGCGAAGCACGGUGGAAGAACCUGUCUCAUGAAUGCGGUCAUGUAAUGUCGGUCUGGGCCGCUUCAUCCAACAAUACCGCUGAAUAAAAGUACGACAUGAUGGUAAGAUGUAUGACUAUUAUCGCCCACAACUCUUUGUGUCCUACUCGUGCAUAUAACAUCUACGCAUAGACUUGGCUCGGAUGCCACUGUUGGGGAACGCAAUAAUUUCAAAAUUUUCCUAUGAUCACGCAAGAUCUAUCUAGGUGAUGCAUAGAAACGAGCGGGAGAGUGUGUGCACGUACCCUCGUAGACCAAAAGAGGAAUCGUUUUAUCAACGCGGUUGAUGUAGUCGUACGUCUUCACGAUCCGACCGAUCUCAGCACCGAACGUACGGCACCUCUGUGUUCAGCACACGUUCAGCUCGAUGACGUCCCUCUUACUCUUAAUCCAGUUGAGGCCGAGGGAGAGUUCCGUCAGCAUGAUGGCGUGGCGACGUUGAUGAUGAAGUUACCGGCGCAGGGCUUCGCCUAAGCACUACAACGAUAUGACUGAGGUGUGUAACUGUGGAGGGGGGCACCGCACACGGCUAAGACAAAUCUUGGAGUGCCUUUGGGGUUCCCCCUGCCCACGUAUAUAAAGGAGGGAGGAAGAGGAGGCCGGCCCUAGAGGGGGCGCGCCAAAGGGGGGAGUCCUACUUGGACUCCCGGUCCAAGUAGGAUUCGGCCCCCCUUUCCUAUUCAACUAGGAGAAGGAAGGGAAGGAGGAAGAGGGGAGAAGGAAGGAGGGGGGCCGCCCCCUCCUAGUCCAAUUCAGACCAGCCCAUGGGGGGCGCGCGGCGACCCCUUGAGGCCCUUCUCUCCUUUCCCGUAUGGCCCAUUAAGGCCCACUACUUCCCCCAGCGAAUUCUCGUAACUCUCCGGUACUCCGAAAAAUACCCGAAUCACUCGGAACCUUUCCGAUGUCUGAAUAUAGCCUUCCAAUAUAUCAAUCUUUACCUCUCGACCAUUUCGAGACUCCUCGUCAUGUCCGUGAUCUCAUCCAGGAUUCCGAACAAACUUCAGUCAUCAAAUCACAUAUCUCAUAUACAAAUCGUGAUCGAACGUUAAGCGUGCGGACCCUACGGGUUCGAGAACUAUGUAGACAUGACCGAGACACAUCUCCGGUCAAUAAACAAUAGCGGAACCUGGAUGCUCAUAUUGGCUCCUACAUAUUCUACGAAGAUCUUUAUCGGUCAAACCGCAUAACAACAUACGUUGUUUCCUUUGUCAUCAGUAUGUUACUUGGCCGAGAUUCGAUCAUCGGUAUCACCAUACCUAGUUCAAUCUCGUUACCGGCAAGUCUCUUUACUCGUUCCGUAAUGCAUCAUCCCGCAACUAACUCAUUAGUCACAUUGCUUGCAAGGCUUAUAGUGAUGUGCAUUACCGAGAGGGCCCAGAGAUACCUCUCCAGAACACGGAGUGACAAAUCCUAAUCUCGAUCUAUGCCAACCCAACAAAUAUCUUCGGAGACACCUAUAGAGCAUCUUUAUAAUCACCCAUUUACGUUGUAACGUUUGAUAGCACACAAAGUGUUCCUCUGAUAUUCGGGAGUUGCAUAAUCUCAUAGUCUGAGGAACAUGUAUAAGUCAUGAAGAAAGCAGUAGCAAUGAAACUAUAACAAUCAUAAUGCUAAGCUAACGAAUGGGUCUUGUCCAUCACAUCAUUCUCCUAAUGAUGUGAUCCUGUUCAUCAAAUGACAACACAUGUCUAUGGUUAGGAAACAUAACCAUCUUUGAUAAACGAGCUAGUCAAGUAGAGGCAUACUAGGGACACUUUGUUUUGUCUAUGUAUUCACACAUGUACUAAGUUUCCGGUUAAUACAAUUCUAGCAUGAAUAAUAAACAUUUAUCAUGAUAUAAGGAAAUAAAUAAUAACUUUAUUAUUGCCUCUAGGACAUAUUUCCUUCAAGGCUAUGUAGACAUAAUUCGACAUCUUCAAUACAAUAGUUCAUAGAUUCAGAUAAAGAUCGGAUAUGACACCACCAGUAAAUACAUAGUACAUGACUUAGUUGUCUCAUCUUGAUCUAUUCUUAUACGGUAGACAAAAGAUAGUACUCGGCGUAUAUAACGACCUUGAUCACGUCAUGCCUUCCUGUUGACUUUGACUUAAUCAAAUGUCUACAAAGAAGCAACAAAGAAC
rnacentral:lncRNA from 1 species